GCCUCUACACUGUCUGAAUAAGAAGUUGAUGUGUCAUGUCCCCAACUAACUCUGACUACUGAAAUCUGAAUUAGUAAUCAAAUUAUCAUGUCCUCAAAGGAUGAGAACUCACUGCUAACUCUGGUCACUGAACUGGGAUGCUACUAGUUCUUUAGAGCUCGUGCUUCUAAACCUAUGGUAUAACUGUCGAUAUCAGUUGUAAGAUUGAAUAUUAAUAAACU
rnacentral:lncRNA from 1 species